GUGUAUCACACCUCAUUGGCUCUUAUGGGCGCGCUCGAUUGGAGCCAUAGAUAAAGAAGGCGUCGGUGCAUUUUUGCGUUCGUUCUCUACGAUUUUUACACAAAAUAGUUGUGCCCAGUUUUCACUAUUCAAAUUGAUGACGAACACUUUGCACCCCCCCCCCCCCCCUCUCGGCUGGAGCAUCCUAAGCGGAGCCGUGGAGAUAACUCGAUGAACGAAAAUUUAUUGUUAAACAAAAAGGCAAAUGAUAACAUUAACAUUU
ensembl:ncRNA C04C11.14 ncRNA